GACGAACGCUGGCGGCGCGCCUAACACAUGCAAGUCGAACGAGCGAGAGAGAGCUUGCUCUCUCGAGCGAGUGGCGAACGGGUGAGUAACGCGUGAGGAACCUGCUUCAAAGAGGGGGACAACAGUUGGAAACGACUGCUAAUACCGCAUAAGCCCACGGCUCGGCAUCGAGCAGAGGGAAAAGGAGCAAUCCGCUUUGAGAUGGCCUCGCGUCCGAUUAGCUAGUUGGUGAGGUAACGGCCCACCAAGGCGACGAUCGGUAGCCGGACUGAGAGGUUGAACGGCCACAUUGGGACUGAGACACGGCCCAGACUCCUACGGGAGGCAGCAGUGGGGAAUAUUGCACAAUGGGGGAAACCCUGAUGCAGCGACGCCGCGUGGAGGAAGAAGGUCUUCGGAUUGUAAACUCCUGUUGUUGGGGAAGAUAAUGACGGUACCCAACAAGGAAGUGACGGCUAACUACGUGCCAGCAGCCGCGGUAAAACGUAGGUCACAAGCGUUGUCCGGAAUUACUGGGUGUAAAGGGAGCGCAGGCGGGAAGACAAGUUGGAAGUGAAAUCUAUGGGCUCAACCCAUAAACUGCUUUCAAAACUGUUUUUCUUGAGUAGUGCAGAGGUAGGCGGAAUUCCCGGUGUAGCGGUGGAAUGCGUAGAUAUCGGGAGGAACACCAGUGGCGAAGGCGGCCUACUGGGCACCAACUGACGCUGAGGCUCGAAAGUGUGGGUAGCAAACAGGAUUAGAUACCCUGGUAGUCCACACCGUAAACGAUGAUUACUAGGUGUUGGAGGAUUGACCCCUUCAGUGCCGCAGUUAACACAAUAAGUAAUCCACCUGGGGAGUACGACCGCAAGGUUGAAACUCAAAGGAAUUGACGGGGGCCCGCACAAGCAGUGGAGUAUGUGGUUUAAUUCGACGCAACGCGAAGAACCUUACCAAGUCUUGACAUCCCUUGACAGGCAUAGAAAUAUGUUUUCUCUUCGGAGCAAGGAGACAGGUGGUGCAUGGUUGUCGUCAGCUCGUGUCGUGAGAUGUUGGGUUAAGUCCCGCAACGAGCGCAACCCUUAUGGUCAGUUACUACGCAAGAGGACUCUGGCCAGACUGCCGUUGACAAAACGGAGGAAGGUGGGGAUGACGUCAAAUCAUCAUGCCCUUUAUGACUUGGGCUACACACGUACUACAAUGGCGUUAAACAAAGAGAAGCAAGACCGCGAGGUGGAGCAAAACUCAGAAACAACGUCCCAGUUCGGACUGCAGGCUGCAACUCGCCUGCACGAAGUCGGAAUUGCUAGUAAUCGUGGAUCAGCAUGCCACGGUGAAUACGUUCCCGGGCCU
rnacentral:rRNA from 1 species